ACUCAAAGGAAUAGACGGGGGCUCACACAAGCGGUGGAGCAUGUGGCUUAAUUCGAGGCUACGCGCAGAACCUUAUCCUGGGCUUGACAUGCACGGAUUAGCCGGCGGAAACGUCGGCGAGGCCGCAAGGUACAACGUGCACAGGUGCUGCAUGGCUGUCGUCAGCUCGUGUCGUGAGAUGUUGGGUUAAGUCCCGUAACGAGCGCAACCCCUGUGAUUAGUUGCCAACGCGUCAUGGCGGGGACUCUAAUCAGACCGCCGGCGUCAAGCCGGAGGAAGGCGGGGAUGACGUCAAGUCCUCAUGGCCCUUAUGCCCAGGGCUGCACACGUGCUACAAUGGGGCGGACAGAGCGACGCUAAUCCGCAAGGCUACGCCAAUCGCAAAAACCGCCCCCCAGUUCGGAUUGCGGGCUGCAACCCGCCCGCAUGAAGCCGGAAUCGCUAGUAAUCGCGGAUCAGCACGCCGCGGUGAAUGUGUUCCUGAGCCUUGCACACACCGCCCGU
rnacentral:rRNA from 1 species